CGUUGUUCGGAAUCACUGGGCUUAAAGGGCGCGUAGGCGGAUUUGCAAGUCCGUGGUGAAAUCCCACAGCUCAACUGUGGAACUGCCUCGGAUACUGUGAGUCUCGAGGGUGGCAGGGGUAUGCGGAACUAUCGGUGGAGCGGUGAAAUGCGUUGAUAUCGAUAGGAACUCCGGUGGCGAAGGCGGCAUACUGGUCCACUUCUGACGCUGAGGCGCGAAAGCCAGGGGAGCAAACGGG
rnacentral:rRNA from 1 species